GAUGAAAAACGCAGCGAAAUGCGAUAAGUAAUGUGAAUUGCAGAAUUCAGUGAAUCAUCGAAUCUUUGAACGCACAUUGCGCCCGCCAGUAUUCUGGCGGGCAUGCCUGUCUGAGCGUCAUUUCAACCCUCAUGCCCCUAGGGCGUGGUGUUGGGGAUCGGCCAAAGCCCGCGAGGGACGGCCGGCCCCUAAAUCUAGUGGCGGACCCGUCGUGGCCUCCUCUGCGAAGUAGUGAUAUUCCGCAUCGGAGAGCGAUGAGCCCCUGCCGUUAAACCCCCAACUUUCCAAGGUUGACCUCAGAUCAGGUAGGAAUACCCGCUGAACUUAAGCAUAUCAAUAAGCGGAGGA
rnacentral:misc_RNA from 1 species